UCGACUCAGGAGCUGCUCCUCAUUACGGCACACCUUGUCCUGUGCAUAGAGGCCUUCAGGCAUCACCCUCUGUUGACCCAUCCCCAUCAGAGCAACUUCCAGGGCCAAUGACAGAAUGUGAGCACCUAAAAAGGAAGAGACUUUAUUUUAUUGCCCUAAGUAUUUCCAGCACCUGGUAUGUGAAAGGAUUAGGCAUAAGGUCAUCAACCAGCUGCAAGGUUACGUGGUCUUACUCAAGCUGCC